UGCAAACAUAUCAGCCACUGGAUGAAAAGUUUACUGUUGAGCCUUCAUACUACAUUAUUCUGCAUCAGACAGAAAUGAAAUCACCUCCACAGAUGUGGCUGUUUCUCUGGGAAUGUUGACUGGUUGCUUUGACUCAGCAGGACAUGGCUCACAAAUACACUCAUGGUGCUCCUGAAUGGGUGAGGUAGAGUUUCAGAAAAGACAGCCAAGUUGUUACGACUGAACAAGGGAGAAGAACCGUCUGCCUGUUAAAAAUAUUAUGCAAGAUAGCCAGAAUAAACUGGAAUAAAUGCAAUUUAAAAUUCCAUUUUUGAAAACUCUACCAAGUUGAUAGUUUAAGUAAACAUUUUGCUGCCUGUAAGGUUACAGAGUAAGCAGGUUUGCAUUUAAACCUUAUACAAAAAUACAGUGGACCAAACAACAUUAACGGAACUAAAGCAAGUGGGCUGGAGCCAUCAAAUACUAGAAAGUAAAUACACAGGUAACUGUGUCUGUGU